rnacentral:rRNA from 1 species
CAGCACCUCAAGUGGUCAGGAUGAUUAUUGGGCCUAAAGCAUCCGUAGCCGGCGCUGUAAGUUUUCGGUUAAAUCUGUACGCUCAACGUACAGGCUGCCGGGAAUACUGCAGCGCUAGGGAGUGGGAGAGGUAGACGGUACUCGGUAGGAAGGGGUAAAAUCCUUUGAUCUAUUGAUGACCACCUGUGGCGAAGGCGGUCUACCAGAGCACGUCCGACGGUGAGGGAUGAAAGCUGGGGAGCAAACCGGAUUAGAUACCCGAGUAGUCC